rnacentral:rRNA from 1 species
CCUACGGGAGGCAGCAGUAAGGAAUAUUGGUCAAUGGGCGCAAGCCUGAACCAGCCAUGCCGCGUGCAGGAAGACGGCCCUAUGGGUUGUAAACUGCUUUUGAACAAGAGAAAACCUCGGUACGUGUACCGAGCUGAUAGUAUUGUUAGAAUAAGCAUCGGCUAACUUCGUGCCAGCAGCCGCGGUAAGACGAAGGAUGCAAGCGUUAUCCGGAUUCAUUGGGUUUAAAGGGUGCGUAGGCGGCCUGAUAAGUCAGUGGUGAAAUCUCUCAGCUUAACUGAGAAACUGCCAUUGAUACUGUCGGGCUUGAGUACAGAUGAUGUGGGCGGAAUAUGACAUGUAGUGGUGAAAUACUUAGAUAUGUCAUAGAACACCGAUUGCGAAGGCAGCUCACAAAACUGUAACUGACGCUGAGGCACGAAAGUGCGGGGAUCAAACAGGAUUAGAUACCCUGGUAGUCCGCACCGUAAACGAUGAUUACUCGUUGUUGGCAAUAUGACCGUCAGCGACCAAGCGAAAGCGAUAGUAAUCCACCUGGGGAGUACGCCGGCAACGGUGAAACGUCAAAGAGUAGUUAGGACGUUGAGAGAGCGACGACGGACGACGACGGAGGGAGGAGG